UCCCUCUCAGGAUCGCAUCUGCAGAGUUUCCAGUACUCUACCAGUCUCGGCUAUGGGAGGGAGAGUCAAGCAGAGGCCUACCCAUUCCAUUCCUAGUUUGAGCGGUGGCUGGCGGGUGGAAGGCAAUCUGCCACAAGU
rnacentral:snoRNA from 2 species